rnacentral:rRNA from 1 species
AUGCAAGGGGACCCGGCGGAGAAGAAGGGGAAGGUGAAGAAGGGGUGGCUGGCCGUGCGGGUCGGCCAGGCCCAGGCGGAGCAGCAGGGCGACGGGUUCCGGCGGUUCGUCAUCCCCAUCGCCUACCUCUACCACCCGCUCUUCCAGCGGCUGCUGGAGGCGGCCCGGGACACGUAUGGCUACAGCUCGGCCGGCCCGCUCUGGCUGCCCUGCUCCGUCGACGAGUUCCUCCGCCUCCGCGCGCGCUCGUCGACCGGGAGACGGCGCACUCGCACUCCUCGUCCUCGCACCGCGUGCACGUGCAGGCCGGCAGCCACCAGCAGCACGGCUACUCCUUCGCCCCGUGCACCCGCGCCAAGGUUACCUCCUGAUCGACCGACGGAUCAUCGAGCGCCGGCGGCCCUUCGUGCGUGCGUGCGCGUGCAUGGCGACUGUGAGCACCGGAGCGCGCGAGCGCCGAGUGGGUAG